AGACAGGUGCUGCAUGGCUGUCGUCAGCUCGUGUCGUGAGAUGUUCGGUUAAGUCCGGCAACGAGCGCAACCCACACUUUCAGUUGCCAUCAUUCAGUUGGGCACUCUGGAAGAACUGCCGGUGAUAAGCCGGAGGAAGGUGUGGAUGACGUCAAGUCCUCAUGGCCCUUACGGGUUGGGCUACACACGUGCUACAAUGGUGGUGACAGUGGGUUAAUCCCCAAAAGCCAUCUCAGUUCGGAUUGUCGUCUGCAACUCGACGGCAUGAAGUUGGAAUCGCUAGUAAUCGCGUAACAGCAUGACGCGGUGAAUACGUUCCCGGGCCUU
rnacentral:rRNA from 1 species